GUGUGAUAUGUUCUUUCUUAUUUUAUCAUGAUCUUGUUGUGUUUUAGUUGGUUCAACUAGUUUCAAUUACACUAUCUUACUACGUCUUGACUAUUUUAUAUUCACUCUGUCUUUAUGUUCUAUUAUGAUAUCAAUGUUCUAAAUUGGUUUUAAAAGAAAAGUAAAGGUUUUCAUAAAAUCUCAAAUAAACGUGCUCCACGAUAAGUUAAAAGGUAAGUCUUGUGUUUCUAUUGUAAAAUUUGAAACUCAAAUUUUGUUGUAAGAAAUUUUAUUUUUUUGUUAC
rnacentral:lncRNA from 1 species